UACGGAGGGGGCUAGCGUUGUUCGGAAUUACUGGGCGUAAAGCGCACGUAGGCGGAUUGGAAAGUUGGGGGUGAAAUCCCGGGGCUCAACCCCGGAACUGCCUUCAAAACUCCCAGUCUGGAGGUCGAGAGAGGUGAGUGGAAUUCCGAGUGUAGAGGUGAAAUUCGUAGAUAUUCGGAGGAACACCAGUGGCGAAGGCGGCUCACUGGCUCGAUACUGACGCUGAGGUGCGAAAGCUAGGGGAGCGAACGGG
rnacentral:rRNA from 1 species